rnacentral:rRNA from 1 species
CCUACGGGUGGCUGCAGUGGGGAAUAUUGGACAAUGGGGGGAACCCUGAUCCAGCCAUGCCGCGUGUGUGAAGAAGGCCCUCGGGUUGUAAAGCACUUUCAGUGAGGAAGAACGCCUGGUGGUUAAUACCCAUCAGGAAAGACAUCACUCACAGAAGAAGCACCGGCUAACCCGUGCCAGCAGCCGCGGUAAUACGGAGGGUGCGAGCGUUAAUCGGAAUUACUGGGCGUAAAGCGCGCGUAGGUGGCUUGAUAAGCCGGUUGUGAAAGCCCCGGGCUCAACCUGGGAACGGCAUCCGGAACUGUCAAGCUAGAGUGCAGGAGAGGAAGGUAGAAUUCCCGGUGUAGCGGUGAAAUGCGUAGAGAUCGGGAGGAAUACCAGUGGCGAAGGCGGCCUUCUGGACUGACACUGACACUGAGGUGCGAAAGCGUGGGUAGCAAACAGGAUUAGAUACCCUAGUAGUC